rnacentral:lncRNA from 1 species
UCAUUUGUUGCUUAUCUUGUUGUCUUCAUAAAUCAUAAGAGUAGAUGUGUUGCUUUGUUCAUAAACUCUUAUAAUAGAUUUUGUUUUUAUUGUUGUUUAAGGACUUCAACAACUAAAAAAGAUUGUUCUACCUUGUGAUCUUCUCUUAUGUUUCCGUUGGGGAAUAAUCUUCAUGAUUUGCAAUUAAGAAUCACAAUAUAUCUUCUGUUCAUACCAAACUAUUUAUGCAGGUGGGGAAUUAUUUGUAGCACCAACUUUAAUUAGAUCGACGACGACUUCUUCAAUAUUCGACAUGUGU